rnacentral:rRNA from 1 species
UACAGAGGGUGCGAGCGUUAAUCGGAAUUACUGGGCGUAAAGCGCGCGUAGGCGGCUUUUCAAGUCGAUUGUGAAAUCCCCGGGCUUAACCUGGGAACUGCAGUCGAGACUGGAUGGCUUGAAUUCGGGAGAGGGAUGCAGAAUUCCAGGUGUAGCGGUGAAAUGCGUAGAUAUCUGGAGGAAUACCGGUGGCGAAGGCGGCAUCCUGGACCGACAUUGACGCUGAGGAGCGAAAGCUAGGGGAGCAAACGGG